CGACGGUGAGCAGAGCUUGCUCUGUGGAUCAGUGGCGAACGGGUGAGUAACACGUGAGCAAUCUGCCCCUGACUCUGGGAUAAGCGCUGGAAACGGCGUCUAAUACCGGAUACGAGCUGCGACCGCAUGGUCAGUAGCUGGAAAGAAUUUCGGUCAGGGAUGAGCUCGCGGCCUAUCAGCUUGUUGGUGAGGUAAUGGCUCACCAAGGCGUCGACGGGUAGCCGGCCUGAGAGGGUGACCGGCCACACUGGGACUGAGACACGGCCCAGACUCCUACGGGAGGCAGCAGUGGGGAAUAUUGCACAAUGGGCGCAAGCCUGAUGCAGCAACGCCGCGUGAGGGAUGACGGCCUUCGGGUUGUAAACCUCUUUUAGCAGGGAAGAAGCGAAAGUGACGGUACCUGCAGAAAAAGCGCCGGCUAACUACGUGCCAGCAGCCGCGGUAAUACGUAGGGCGCAAGCGUUAUCCGGAAUUAUUGGGCGUAAAGAGCUCGUAGGCGGUCUGUCGCGUCUGCUGUGAAAACCCGAGGCUCAACCUCGGGCCUGCAGUGGGUACGGGCAGACUAGAGUGCGGUAGGGGAGAUUGGAAUUCCUGGUGUAGCGGUGGAAUGCGCAGAUAUCAGGAGGAACACCGAUGGCGAAGGCAGAUCUCUGGGCCGUAACUGACGCUGAGGAGCGAAAGGGUGGGGAGCAAACAGGCUUAGAUACCCUGGUAGUCCACCCCGUAAACGUUGGGAACUAGUUGUGGGGUCCAUUCCACGGAUUCCGUGACGCAGCUAACGCAUUAAGUUCCCCGCCUGGGGAGUACGGCCGCAAGGCUAAAACUCAAAGGAAUUGACGGGGACCCGCACAAGCGGGCGGAGCAUGCGGGAUUAAUUCGAUGCAACGCGAAGAAACCUUACCAAGGCUUGACAUAUAGAAGGAAACGUCUGGAAACAGUCUCCCCGCAAGGUCUCUAUACAGGUGGUGCAUGGUUGUCGUCAGCUCGUGUCGUGAGAUGUUGGGUUAAGUCCCGCAACGAGCGCAACCCUCGUUCUAUGUUGCCAGCACGUAAUGGUGGGAACUCAUGGGAUACUGCCGGGGUCAACUCGGAGGAAGGUGGGGAUGACGUCAAAUCAUCAUGCCCCUUAUGUCUUGGGCUUCACGCAUGCUACAAUGGCCGGUACAAAGGGCUGCAAUACCGUGAGGUGGAGCGAAUCCCAAAAAGCCGGUCCCAGUUCGGAUUGAGGUCUGCAACUCGACCUCAUGAAGUCGGAGUCGCUAGUAAUCGCAGAUCAGCAACGCUGCGGUGAAUACGUUCCCGGGUCUUGUACACACCGCCCGUCAAGUCAUGAAAGUCGGUAACACCUGAAGCCGGUGGCCCAACCCUGUGGAG
rnacentral:rRNA from 1 species